CGGCGGACGGGUGAGUAACACGUGGAUAACCUACCUAUAAGACUGGGAUAACUUCGGGAAACCGGAGCUAAUACCGGAUAAUAUAUUGAACAGCAUGGUUCAAUAGUGAAAGACGGUUUUGCUGUCACUUAUAGAUGGAUACGCGCCGCAUUAGCUAGUUGGUAAGGUAACGGCUUACCAAGGCAACGAUGCGUAGCCGACCUGAGAGGGUGAUCGGCCACACUGGAACUGAGACACGGUCCAG
rnacentral:rRNA from 1 species